AACGUACGCUGGCGGCACGCCUAACACAUGCAAGUCGAACGAAGUAGCAAUACUUAGUGGCAGACGGGUGAGUAACAUGUAGGUAUCUGCCCUUUGGCCUGGAAUAACACGAGGAAACUUGUGCUAAUACCGGAUAAGUCUUUACGGAGAAAGCUUUAUGCACCAUUGGAUGAGCCUGCACUUGAUUAGUUUGUUGGUGGGGUAAUGGCCUACCAAGACUGUGAUCAAUAGCUGAUUUGAGAGGAUGAUCAGCCACAUUGGGACUGAGACACGGCCCAAACUCCUACGGGAGGCAGCAGUGGGGAAUCUUGCACAAUGGAGGAAACUCUGAUGCAGCGAUGCCGCGUGAGUGAAGAAGGCCCUUGGGUUGUAAAGCUCUUUCGUCGGGGAAGAAAAUGACUGUACCCGAAUAAGAAGGUCCGGCUAACUUCGUGCCAGCAGCCGCGGUAAUACGAAGGGACCUAGCGUAGUUCGGAAUUACUGGGCUUAAAGAGUUCGUAGGUGGUUGAAAAAGUUAGUGGUGAAAUCCCAGAGCUUAACUCUGGAACUGCCAUUAAAACUUUUCAGCUAGAGUAUGAUAGAGGAAAGCAGAAUUUCUAGUGUAGAGGUGAAAUUCGUAGAUAUUAGAAAGAAUACCAAUUGCGAAGGCAGCUUUCUGGAUCAUUACUGACACUGAGGAACGAAAGCAUGGGUAGCGAAGAGGAUUAGAUACCCUCGUAGUCCAUGCCGUAAACGAUGUGUGUUAGACGUUGGAAAUUUAUUUUCAGUGUCGCAGGGAAACCGAUAAACACACCGCCUGGGGAGUACGACCGCAAGGUUAAAACUCAAAUGAAUUGACGGGGACCCGCACAAGUAGUGGAGCAUGUGGUUUAAUUCGAAGAUACGCGCAGAACCUUACCAACACUUGACAUGUUCGUCGCGACUCUAAGAGAUUAGAGUUUUCGGUUCGGCCGGACGAAACACAGGUGCUGCAUGGCUGUCGUCAGCUCGUGUCGUGAGAUGUUGGGUUAAGUCCCGCAACGAGCGCAACCCUCACUUUUAGUUGCCAUCAUUAAGUUGGGCACUCUGAAAGAACUGCCAGUGAUAAGCUGGAGGAAGGUGGGGAUGACGUCAAGUCCUCAUGGCCCUUACGUGCUGGGCUACACACGUGCUACAAUGGUAUCUACAACAGGAAGCAAGACUGCGAAGUUAAGCAAAUCCCUAAAAGAUACCUCAGUUCGGAUUGCACUCUGCAACUCGAGUGCAUGAAGCUGGAAUUACUAGUAAUCGUGGAUCAGCGUGCCACGGUGAAUGCGUUCCCGGGUCU
rnacentral:rRNA from 1 species